GGAAAUGUGCCCGAGAUUUAAGGACCACUUUGAUAGGGUGGAACACAGGGGUUAAAACCCCCUCAUUUCC
rnacentral:tRNA from 1 species